CUGAGACACGGCCCAGACUCCUACGGGAGGCAGCAGUGGGGAAUAUUGCACAAUGGGCGAAAGCCUGAUGCAGCGACGCCGCGUGAGGGAUGACGGCCUUCGGGUUGUAAACCUCUUUCAGCAGGGAAGAAGCGAAAGUGACGGUACCUGCAGAAGAAGCGCCGGCUAACUACGUGCCAGCAGCCGCGGUAAUACGUAGGGCGCAAGCGUUGUCCGGAAUUAUUGGGCGUAAAGAGCUCGUAGGCGGCUUGUCACGUCGAUUGUGAAAGCCCGAGGCUUAACCUCGGGUCUGCAGUCGAUACGGGCUAGCUAGAGUGUGGUAGGGGAGAUCGGAAUUCCUGGUGUAGCGGUGAAAUGCGCAGAUAUCAGGAGGAACACCGGUGGCGAAGGCGGAUCUCUGGGCCAUUACUGACGCUGAGGAGCGAAAGCGUGGGGAGCGAACAGGAUUAGAUACCCUGGUAGUCCACGCCGUAAACGGUGGGAACUAGGUGUUGGCGACAUUCCACGUCGUCGGUGCCGCAGCUAACGCAUUAAGUUCCCCGCCUGGGGAGUACGGCCGCAAGGCUAAAACUCAAAGGAAUUGACGGGGGCCCGCACAAGCGGCGGAGCAUGUGGCUUAAUUCGACGCAACGCGAAGAACCUUACCAAGGCUUGACAUACGCCGGAAAACCCUGGAGACAGGGUCCCCCUUGUGGUCGGUGUACAGGUGGUGCAUGGCUGUCGUCAGCUCGUGUCGUGAGAUGUUGGGUUAAGUCCCGCAACGAGCGCAACCCUUGUUCUGUGUUGCCAGCAUGCCCUUCGGGGUGAUGGGGACUCACAGGAGACCGCCGGGGUCAACUCGGAGGAAGGUGGGGACGACGUCAAGUCAUCAUGCCCCUUAUGUCUUGGGCUGCACACGUGCUACAAUGGCCGGUACAAUGAGCUGCGAUACCGUGAGGUGGAGCGAAUCUCAAAAAGCCGGUCUCAGUUCGGAUUGGGGUCUGCAACUCGACCCCAUGAAGUCGGAGUCGCUAGUAAUCGCAGAUCAGCAUUGCUGCGGUGAAUACGUUCCCGGGCCUUGUACACACCGCCCGUCACGUCACGAAAGUCGGUAACACC
rnacentral:rRNA from 1 species